rnacentral:lncRNA from 1 species
UGACUCACACGGUCCGAACACAAACAGCCACACCAUCCACACACAACUCAUCCAUGCUUCGGUUUUUCACAUCUAACACCCAAAAAUUCGACAUGCAACCAACACACAAGCAUGCAAGAGAAGCUAGAGGACUUCCACUUGCCUCUAGACCGGUCGGUCGACGGCGUAGGGCGGCGAACACGGCGGACGAACGGCGGCUCCUCCUUGGCUCCGCC